ensembl:snRNA U6 U6 spliceosomal RNA
GUACUUAUUUUGGCAGCAUGUAUACAUACUAAAAUUGGAAUAAUACAGAGAAAAUUACUAUGGUCCCUGAGGAAGAAUGAUAUUCAAAUUUGGGAAGCAUUCCAGUAAAAA